GUCUAUGGCAAUACCACCCUGGAUAUUCCUGAUCUUGAAGCUAAGCAGGAUUGGGCCUGGUUAGUACUUGGAUGGGAGGCUGUUAGAACUACUAGAAAAUAAAUU
rnacentral:rRNA from 1 species